rnacentral:rRNA from 1 species
CCCGCUGAACUUAAGCAUAUCAAUAAGCGGAGGAAAAGAAACUAACAAGGAUUCCCCUAGUAACUGCGAGUGAAGCGGGAUAAGCUCAAAUUUAAAAUCUGGCGGCUCUUUGCCGUCUGAGAUGUGAUUUAUAGAAGCGUCUUCCGCGCCCGACCGUGCACAAGUCUCCCGGGAUGGAGCGACAUAGAGGGUGAGAAUCCCGUCUUUGGCAUGGAUCCCUGGCGCUUCUGUGAUGCGCUCUCUCACAGUCAAGCUGGUUGGGAAUGCAUCUCACAAUGAGCGGUGAACUCCAUCUAACGCUAAAUAUUGACGAGAGACCGAUCGCGAACAAGUACCGUGAGGGAGAGAUGAAAAGCACUUUGUAAAGAGAGAGAAGCAGUCACGUGAAAUUGUUGAAAGGGAAACCCUUGAUAGUCAGUCGCGUCGACCGAGACUCAACCUUGCCUUGGCGUGGUGUACUUCUCGACCCGACGGGUCAGCAUCAAUCAUGCCCCUCGAAUAAUGUCAAGGGACAGGUGGCACCUUCGCGGGUGUGUUAUAGUCUCCUGUCGCAUGCGAAGGGUGGGAUCGAGGAUCUCAGCUCGCGCCUCGGAGUCGGAGCUUCGCCCCACGUUCACGUGCUUAGGAUGUUGGCGUAAUGGCUUUAAACGACCCGUCUUGAAACACGG